CCGACAUUGGGUUCGGUGGAGCCCAUCUACUUAUGGCUGUCGGAUGCCAAUCUGGGAGGCCAUGGGCAGUGGCUGCAAACGCCGCAGCUCCCGAGGCUGCUCCGCCCAAAGGAACGCCGGUAGAUGGUAGACCAGAUAGAUUCGACGGACACCAUCAUCAGUGUACUUGCAGCAGUUCGGACGCUCCCUCCCUUGUCAUGUGGGCGUGCACGGCGUCCCUCCCGUCAGCCCGGGGGAGCACGGACUGAAAACCUCAGGUCACUUUAUCUUUUUUAAAUUAAAUAUUUCUUCCACAAUUUUCAACUAAUGUAAUAUGGGUUACUUGAAGGAAGGAACAAGGGAAAUAUGUUAGAUAGAAAUAGAUGCAGAGAGAUAUCACUUAUGUACAACCCUGACAUGCAGUAGAGAACAGUGGCAAGGUUUUCAGAAGAUCAAUAAAUGCUUUUGCUUUUCAUCGUAGGAAAAGAAUAAAAUGGUG
rnacentral:lncRNA from 1 species